rnacentral:rRNA from 1 species
UACAGAGGUCCCGAGCGUUGUUCGGAUUCACUGGGCGUAAAGAGCGCGUAGGCGGCCCUGUAAGUCCGCUGUGAAAGUCAAGGGCUCAACCCUUGAAUGCCGGUGGAUACUGCAGGGCUAGAGUCCGGAAGAGGCGAGUGGAAUUCCUGGUGUAGCGGUGAAAUGCGCAGAUAUCAGGAGGAACACCGAUGGCGAAGGCAGCUCGCUGGGACGGUAUUGACGCUGAGGCGCGAAAGCUAGGGGAGCAAACGGGG